GGCCCCAUCGUCUAUCGGUUUAGGACGCUACCCUUUCAAGGUGGAGAGACGGGUUCGACUCCCGUUGGGGCUAUCA
rnacentral:tRNA from 1 species